rnacentral:rRNA from 1 species
UACGUAGGGGGCAAGCGUUGUCCGGAUUUAUUGGGCGUAAGGCGCUCGCAGGUGGUUCGUCGCGUCGUGCGUGAAAGACCCCGGCUCAACUGGGGGAGGUCGUGCGAUACGGGCGAACUGGAGGCCAGUAGGGGGAUGCGGAAUUCCGGGUGUAGUGGUGGAAUGCGUAGAGAUCCGGAGGAACACCAGCGGCGAAGGCGGCAUCCUGGACUGGUCCUGACACUCAUGAGCGAAAGCGUGGGGAGCGAUCCGG